rnacentral:rRNA from 1 species
AUUGAACGCUGGCGGCAGGCCUAACACAUGCAAGUCGAGCGGAUGACGGGAGCUUGCUCCUUGAUUCAGCGGCGGACGGGUGAGUAAUGCCUAGGAAUCUGCCUGGUAGUGGGGGACAACGUUUCGAAAGGAACGCUAAUACCGCAUACGUCCUACGGCAGAAAGCAGGGGACCUUCGGGCCUUGCGCUAUCAGCAGGGCCUAGGUCGGAUUAGCUAGUAGGUGAGGUAAUGGCUCACCUAGGCGACGAUCCGUAACUGGUCUGAGAGGAUGAUCAGUCACACUGGAACUGAGACACGGUCCAGACUCCUACGGGAGGCAGCAGUGGGGAAUAUUGGACAAUGGGCGAAAGCCUGAUCCAGCCAUGCCGCGUGUGUGAAGAAGGUCUUCGGAUUGUAAAGCACUUUAAGUUGGGAGGAAGGGCAGUAAGCAAAUACCUUGCUGUUUUGACGUUACCGACAGAAUAAGCACCGGCUAACUCUGUGCCAGCCGCCGCCGUAAGAC